GCGUGACCCACACAAACCAGUGACUCUCCAGAAACCUUCCAAAACAAAGAGGCAAGAAAGCAGAACAAUUUAUAUUGCAGGUUGGGAUAGGAGGUUCCCAUUUCUUUUCAGCAUGCAAACUCCUAACCUCAUCUCCAUAGCGAAAUAUCUGGAGCUAUACAGAAGUGCCUGCUUUGAGCUCCAGGAGUGUUCAUGCAAGAAGCUAAAGCAUGGAGAAUUUGGAUUGCUGUGAACCUGCAUUUUUGCCUCAGCUUAGCAACUUCUCCAUGAAGGAUUUACUGGAAGGGGGACAGGAACACCAAAAGGCAUCUCAGUGCUUCAAGGAAACGAAUGGAAAAUAACCACAGACCACAGGCAAAUGGAGAUGGAUGGAAAGGAAAGGUAUUGGAAAAGCUCCGAGGCAGUUGGCAUUUUAUUAGCUAUGGGCUAAUAACACCCUGGGGGGAGAAGAUGCUCUCGGAUGCACUUUUGAACAAGGUGCAGACAACAAUCUGAGCCCACUAUCAUAUCCCGCUGCUGAAGGACAGCACAGGAUAAGAGACCACCUCCUUCAGUGAACCCAGAAGUGCCUCCCGUCCUGGUGCUGCCGUGCUUCUGUCCAGCCCCAGCCAUAAACAGUCUUUUCCUGUGGUGUGGGGGUGACGAAAGCCAGAAAUGAAAGGAAUGUUUUCCUAAGACUUGCUAGUUUUAUUUAGCUUGGUUCAAAAUAGACCUCCGACAAGGAUAACAAUAAAUGUCAGCAAGACACUACAUUAAGGCGGACCUGAAGCUCGUUGCUUGUGAUGUAGGAAAAGUUUACCUUGAAACUUUUUGUCCUGAGUUCUUUGAAUUCCAGGAUUUUAAUCCUGUAGUAGAUUCUGCAUAGCAUGUUGGAUGCUUUAAACUUUGUAAUGCUAAGGGUGUUCUCCCUGUAGCCUGCCUUUCCCUUGUAACCACACACCUGGACCAAGUUAUCCUCAGGGCCUUGCACAGAUGCAUUUGGAUGUUUUUUUCUGUCUGAUUUCUCCUAAAGAUUGAUAACUAUGGGUAAGAGAAACAACCUUUCUUACACUGUAUUUUUACCCUUUGCCUCAUAGCUUUUAGUUUAUAACUUUAGAACACGCUGGAUAACACAAAGAGAAAUAUCUUACAUAUCCAAUAAAUAUCACGUGUAAGUUACAUGUGCAUGGAGCAUGCAAUUCCUGCCCCUCAUCAAGCGCACUCCAGUCAGUGCUAACAUCAUCUCAGGCAGGAGCAACCAGUAAUGAGUUUAAGUGGGUUUGGACAAAAACUAUAUUGUUACUACUGGAAAACUGCUCUGUGGACUCCCUGCUCCACUGUAGGGAACAUUCAGAAGACAACAGUUGUCUGGAAGACCCCAUUGCUUCUGUUCCUGGCUGGCCACUUGGAAGAUGGUUUUCCUUCUCUCUCAUUUUCUCUCCUUGUUUUGGCUGUGGUUUUGUUUUGUUUCAUUUUGGUUUUAUUUGUUUGGUUUUUUCAUUGUGGCUGGGUUUUUUGGUUGCUCUCCCCUCUCUUAAAAUAGCUUUGAGGCCCAUGUAUGCCAUGAAUUCUGGAUUCAGCUAAAUGUGUAUAUAUAUAGUUGUCCUAGUGAGAGAUCCAUGUUUAGUGAAUUUAAAAAACUGUGCUGUAGAUAUAUUUCUCAGUCAUCUUUGUGGAACCCCUGCAGAGUGGUUCAUGGACUCCAAGCAGUCUGCAGACCUCUGUUUGAGAAUCAGUGCAGAUAAAGAUCUAUUAUUGGCUUUUUCUCAGCUGUAAUUUAUAGCAUAUCUAUCGAAUAAUGUGAACUACUUUAAUAUUUCCACUUCUGGCAGCAUUUCGGAACAAAGCAACAUCUCUUGAUCUGUUGUUCCUGCAAAGCAAAAUCAUGUACAUCUGUAAAUUGGUGAAUCCUGAUGAUUUUCCUGUUAAAGGCAGCUGAAGAUCUGGUUCUCUGUUUUCUGUGACUACGCUGAGUGGAACCAUAGUUCUGCUUUGAGCCAGGAAGUUACACUGGUUGGGUUGCAGAGGUCCUCUGCAAGCUAUAUGGCUUUAUAAUUCUAUAAAGAAGAAGAUUGCAAAGCUGAGGAACACAGGGAUGCCUAAGAAGAUGGAGAGGACCAGUGGGCAACACAGAGAAAGGAAUAAAAAACCAUACAAUUAAUUAUUUUAGGCUGCAUUUCUUCAAGCUUCACUGUUGGUAUUUUACUGUUAGAAAGUAUGGGGGAUUCACUGCAAAGCCAGAUUUUUGGGAAGAAAAUGAACUUGCAAAUUCAUGAACUAGUUUUAUUUGUUCAGUGUCCUAAUUAAAGGUUGUGUCCUCUAUGUCCACAGCUAGAUUCAAAGCCAUGGUUUCUUUUAGCUUGUAGAGCUAAUGAUACAUAUUAUUGGUAACUCACAGUGUUAUUUGAUGGUCAUAGUCCACCAGGUGACUGCACUACAAGAGCAAUGUAAUAGUGUUAUUGAAAUUGGCACCUAUUUUGUAUACAACAAGCUUUAUCAGUCAGUCCAUGGAAGUUCAUACUUCAGAGCUGAUGACUUUAGCAGUGGAUGAUCUAUGCAGGGCUGGCUGCAUAUGGAAAUGCUGGGUUUGAACAGUAUAUUUGCCUAAGCAAGUCCUCCCUCCUGAGAAAUGAGUAUGGAGAUGGGUAUAUUCUGGAAUUGGCUCUUAUUAGAUGGACAUAGAUGUAAAAUCUGUACAGAGAACUCCUCAUCUGGACAUUUCACAUAGAUAACUGUGUAAUAACUUAAUGCCAAGUCAUAGAAAGGUGCGUAUCAAAACCCCCCAGCGCUAUCAUCUGCUUGCAGCACAGCCUGUAACACUGUCUCACAGGCUUUCUGCAGCACUUGUUAUAGGUUUUGUUUGGCUUCAUGGGCACGAACCAGCCACAGCAAUGAGAGGAGAACAGACUCUCUUCUGUGGCCAAGUAGGUGAAAGGCUGCAUUUGUUGCAUGGUGUAGCUUUAGUGGCACAAAGAGCUUGUGUAAGGGACAUAAAAGCCCUGAGUUUCAUUGAGUAGUCAUGAGAUGGGGGGAAAGAAGGUGAGAAACAUCACAGGAAAGAAAGUGUGGAAAAGGGGAUAUAGAGAAGUGCAAAGUGGAAGAGUUUUUGUAGGGGGCACACAUAGAAGGGGUGUGUCUGCAUUUCAGGAUAAUGUAGAAAUACCUAACUAGUAAGUGAAGGACAUCUUCCUGGGUUAGGUUGGAAUGGGAAAAAACAGAGCAAGUUGAUAGUUCAGGUAUCUUUACACUGUGUCAUGCAUUGACUCAUUAACGUAAAAGUAACUGAGACCCUGAGGAAAGUGUUU